GCAUUUUCAUAGGAGUUGUGUGAUAGUUAGGGUUACGGCUUCAUCUAAAAACGUUGGGGUAUUUCCAGUAUUUGGACGUGGUAAAGCAGUAUUCUUGACGGGAAACUGCAUCCACCGCCCCUUCAACGAAAACCGGGGCUUCCGAUGUAUGCAAAGACGACAAGAAUUGGAAACGACCCUUCUUGGACGUAAAGACGCCUACAAUCUCAGUAGGAACGACUUCGUCGCCUCAUUUCUCUACAAAGACGGAAAGAAUUGGGAAUGGAAAUGACUUGGUAGUUAAAACGUCUACAGAGCGUUCGUAUAGAUGCUCAGGACGUCUAACGACGCCACUUCCCGAUGCGAAGAUUUACAAAUAGGCAAUGAAGAAAAUGGACACUGAAUGUUCACGGUGA